rnacentral:sRNA from 1 species
UAGACAUUCCUCAAUGCCAAAACAUGAUAGAUAAGGUGAGACGACGGUGAAUUCAUGAGAGCUUUGAGACAAAGGCUAUUAAGUAUUCUGAAACAUGUGAAGUCAUAGCUAGUCGAAUGAUCUUCCACAAACCCGUUACAUAGGA